UGGUCCGUCCUAAUCCCUGCUGGUCAGCCUGUGGCCAGCCAGGUUUCACAUGUGGACCAGAGCACCACAGAAGCCUCACCUGGAGGAGUGAGCGCAGCUUUGGAGGGCUCACGCCACAGGCACUUCUAGACACUC